rnacentral:lncRNA from 1 species
UUUUUCAUCUUCAUAUCAUCUCCAUCAACCUUUAACAACAAGAAUCCUCGAAAAAUUCCAUAAGAAAAUGAAGAAAACCUAACGUUUUUGAAUUAAAACUAACGGAAAGGACCAAAAUGUGUAACGGAGAGAAGUUAAGGGACCAAAAUAAAUCAAAUUUUAAUUGAUGGACCAAAGCGAUACUACCUAAAUAGUUAAGGGAUUAAAAAUGCAAUUUAGC